AACGCAUCUUGCACCCUUUGGUAUUCCGAAGGGUAUGCCUGUUUGAGUGUCAUUGUAAUCUCACUUCUAAGGGUUUAUUCUCAUUAGAAUGUGGACAUGGAGGCUUGUAACUUAAUCAGUUACUCUUCCUAAAUGCAUUAGUGAAUGUUGUCCUAAUCAUGAUAACAGUGUGAUGAGUAUCUUCACUGUUCUAUUGAAAAAUAGCAUGAUCUGGAUUCCUAACACUUAUAAAUGUCCUCACGGACAAUACUUGACAAUUUGACCUCAAAUCAGGUAGGACUACCCGCUGAACUUAA
rnacentral:misc_RNA from 1 species